rnacentral:rRNA from 1 species
GUCAACCUACGGGGGGCAGCAGUGGGGUAUAUUGGGCAAUGGAGGAAACUCUGACCCAGCAACGCCGCGUGAGUGAAGAAGGGUUUCGGCACGUAACGCUCUGUUGGUAGUGAAGAAAGAUAGAGGUAGUAACUGGCCUUUAUUUGACGGUAAUUACUUAGAAAGUCACGGCUAACUACGUGCCAGCAGCCGCGGUAAUACGUAGGUGGCAAGCGUUGUCCGGAUUUAUUGGGCGUA